rnacentral:snRNA from 1 species
UUGCUUGCUUCAGCAGCACAUACCACUAAAAUUGGAAUGAUACAGAGAAGAUUAGCGUGGCCCCUGUGCAAGGAUGACAUGCAAAUUCAUGAAGCAUUCCAUAUUUAA